ACGAUUGCACCAUCCCCAAAGUGGACUAUCAGACCAGGAUAACUCUGAAAGUCACAGAGAAACCCGCUGUGAUAACUCCACGUCCUUUGCCUCCUGUGACUGCUUCGCCUCGUGCUGCAGCGGUAACCUCCUCCCUCCACCACCUGACUCUCCUCUGUCCUGCUCUGUUUUUGCAGUUCUUGCCUUGAAAGUAGGCACAGGAGUUAAAGUCGGGUUUAGCUUUAAUCAAAAACUAGAUUAUACCUUAAAAAUAACAUUUCACACUGUCGGAUAAGGUAAAAGUCUUUCUUUUACCUUAUUUGCUCUAAACAUGGUAAACGUAUGAUGGAGCUGCUUUGAAUUAUUUAUGCAAACAUCUAUCGUCUUAUUAGUCUGUUCAGUGUGCUGAUAUAACUCAUCUUCCAAUCAGAUGACAGAAAAAUGUAAAAACUAACCCUCAGCUCGAAAUCACCUGCGACUGUUACACUCCAACUCACCCGCUGCAUCCACCUCCACCUGUUUUCAGCCCUCCAGAGCAAACAUGAAUGAACUUGCUGCACAAACGUUCAUGACAUCGACGUUAAAUUGAUCCAUUUAUAAACAAUCUCCUAAAGACACGCUGUCAUGUUAUUCCAUGUAUGUUGAUAAUCAUAAAGAUAGUUGUUUAGCUUAGUGUUGCUAAUCAAGUCGAAGCUGGCCUGCUGGACAAGCUGUGUCAUGACACCAGAGAUAUCGGUGUAGUCCUAUUUAGAUCUGAUUAGAGUCGGACGGUGUUUUCAUUGCUUUUCCGUGCUAACUUCAUGCUGUGUUACUGGAAAACAAAGAAACAACCUCCAAAAUCUGUAAGUAUCCAUACUGGCCAAUAUUGGUUAAUACCUGAAAAACUGAUGUACCAGUCUCCUGGCUGAUAUCCAUCCGCUGACUCAGGUCAGCCUUCAAAUUCAAUGAUUUCAAAACUGAUGGUGGCCCUCAAAGGUCAAACGAACUGCAAGUAGAAAAAUACUCCAAAAACGCACAAAGUACAAUAAAAGAAAAAAAAAUUGCAAAACCUCAGAAAAAAAGUUUUUUUUUUUUUCUGUUUCCGUUGUGUUUUCUUCAACUUCCUUUCUGUUUUGUGUACUUGUUCCAUUUGUUAAUGUUUUCUUAAGUUGCAGUGCAUUUGACCUUUGAGCGCCACCAUUUAAAUAAAUAAAAAAAUAAGUUCUAUGGAGAGCUGACAAGGUUUUAAAACCGGUCAUUAUUUACCCCUAAUGAAGCUCUUUUGAUGCCUGAGACCAAAAAAAGGACAUUACAGCAGCAGAAGAAGAAAAGUAUCCAAACAACAUCGAUGCGACCCAGAUUACUGUCAUAAACAGAAAAACAAAAUUGUUCUACUUCCUGAGAUUGCUGCGGGAGCUUUAAACGUCUAAAGUUUCAGUGUGUGUUUCGUUAUAAUUGUACUAAAAUAUAUCUGUGACGGGCCAAUAUUAGUCAUAUUGAUCAGAUUGGAAUUCUCCCACAGAAAACAUCUUUAUAAAUCUGAUUUACCUUGUUCACGUUCUUUGUCGAUCACCAGGAGGAAAGUGCUGUCUGUCAUCUAUGAAUAAAACAGGAAGUCACACUGUCAGGCUGAUUUAACAGGCUUUAAUCUACCUGGAUGUUUCACAGUGACGCCAUAUAGACACUGAUGUUUGCCACAGACCGGGAUUAUGAAGCGUUUUUUUUGUUUUUUUUUUAGGUUGUGUUCAUUUCAGUGAUUCUCCUUGCAUGUGUAUCUUUGUAUCACUGACGUAAAUAAACAUUAGUUCUUUAAGUUUAAUCCAAAGACAUUCAACAUCAAAUGAAUCUUUAAAGUGUCAGAUAUGUGAAACGAGUGAGAACAAUCGGCCACCACAUGGAGCUGUCACAGCUAUGAUUAUUAUUAUUAGUAGUAGUAGUAUUAAUAACUGUUGUUGUUGUUAUUAUUAUUAUUAUUAUUAUUAUUAUUAUUAUUAUUAUUAUUAUUAUUAUUAUCAUUAUCAUUUAUUAACAAUAGAGGAGCUCCAGCAAAUUGAAGACUUACUAAAUCUGAUGGCAUGGAUCUCUGCAGAUGAUUAGCAGCUUCUAAAGGAGGUCAUUGUACAUUAUGCAAUUUUUUUUUGCUCUGUUUUUAUUUGAAGAAAUUAUUGUUGAAGGGAAAAUAAGCACUUAAAACUAGGCUGUUAUUUAUUAUUUAUUUAAAAAACUAAAAUGUAAAAGUGAAGUUUAUUUAUGUUUUUGACAACAAAACAUUCCAAAGAAAUGUUCCAGUUGACCCCACAACCCAAAAAAACCCCUCAAAAAUAAUCUGUUUACCAAAAACAGCAAAACAUCCAACACAAUCUAACAAAAGCAUGACUUUAUAACCAUCAGUGCUGAGAAUAGUCAGUAAAAUAUCAGAUUUUGUUGUCUGCGUCUUCUAUCAUUUACUAUAUACUAUAUUACUGUUAUUAAAGAUCGGCUGUUUUUUAUAUUCACUACUGCUGCUAUUGUUUCUGAUGCAGAUGGAUC